rnacentral:tRNA from 1 species
GCGGCGCGAGCUCAACAGGGUCUUUGAGGCGUGGCUGAGAACCACGUGAGGUGUGUAACCUCUUCCGGGUUCAAGUCCCGGGCGCCGCG